GGGACGGGUCAUUAUUUAUGGUGGGGGGUGGCACCGAAGAGAAAUGUUUUUCCUGGUAAAAAUUUUGCUGACCCAACCAUUAAAAAGCAAAAAAUUUGAUUACCCAACCUCAAAUAUCAAUUAAAAAAUAAAUACCCACCCCUGGCCAAAACCUUUACAAAAGAAUACCAUUCAGUUGUCACACAUGUCCUUUACCACUUCUGUGACACAAGUUUGAUAACUAAACUUUGUUGUUGUAUGUACAUGUACUUUCUUUGGAGACACCAUUUGUCUCCCAACAAAUCGGAAAAUGAUCAAGAUAGUGACUCUGAUUGAUUCACAUAUUGUAUUGACAUACGACUGUUGACAUUGCUUUUCAGUCUCCAAUAUUUAAGUGAGUCAUGCUUUGGAAAUGACAAUAACUUUUUAUUACCCAACCCUUGAGUUGUUUUGUUUUUCAUUUACCCAACCUUUUACUUACUCAAAAUUUAGUUUACCCAACCCUUUUCUCUUCGGUGCCACCCCCGCCAUAAAUAAUGACCGGUCCCUAAGGUUGUCCCCCGAGCAAAGCGGAAAAGUCGAAUACGAGCGCGAAAGACUGCUGGGAAUGAAUGAAUUUAUUAGCGAUUCCCAGCAGCCUUUCGCGCUCGUAUUCGACUUUUCCGCUUUGCUCGNNNNNNNNNNNNNNNNNNNNGUGUGACAUCAGCAUAAUAAAACAGAUUGUCAAAAUGGCGUGGCAUAUCCAUACAUGGGCACAACACGCCAUUUUCACGUCGUCUUUGACGUCCGCGUCCUCGAUCUAAGGGACCGGUCAUUAUUUAUGGUGGGGGGUGGCACCGAAGAGAAAUGUUUUUCCUGGUAAAAAUUUUGCUGACCCAACCAUUAAAAAGCAAAACAUUUGAUUACCCAACCUCAAAUAUCAAUUAAAAAAUAAAUACCCACCCCUGGCCAAAACCUUUACAAAAGAAUACCAUUCAGUUGUCACACAUGUCCUUUACCACUUCUGUGACACAAGUUUGAUAACUAAACUUUCUGGUUGUAUGUACAUGUACUUUCUUUGGAGACACCAUUUGUUUCCCAACAAAUCGGAAAAUGAUCAAGAUAGUGACUCUGAUUGAUUCACAUAUUGUAUUGACCGUGAUGACUGUUGACAUUGCUUUUCAGUCUCCAAUAUUUAAGUGAGUCAUGCUUUGGAAAUGACAAUAACUUUUUAUUACCCAACCCUUGAGUUGUUUUGUUUUUCAUUUACCCAACCUUUUACUUACUCAAAAUUUAGUUUACCCAACCCUUUUCUCUUCGGUGCCACCCCCGCCAUAAAUAAUUACCGGUCCCUAAAUCUGUCUGUCUAAAUGUUUCAAUCACGAAAACCGAGGCUCUACGGCCAAGAUGACGUACUUUCCGGAAGCGUGUACUGUAUUUAAUGUUAAUGUAUUCGCGCGGCGUAAUUUUAGUGUGGUCUCUUAAAAGAAAACUACAUUGCACAACACAUUCAAAUGCCUGCAAUGGCUGUCUUUCAGUUUUAUUUUAACGCAACAAGUACUCCAUUUUGAACCCAAACCAGUCGUGCUAUCGCAGUCAGCGCAAAUUUAAUUUAUGCUUUUUAGUUGUAAGUAGGAUUUUAACUAGCAUUCGUACUUUUUAUUUGUAGAGUUUUUUAAUAGCUGCUUAUUUCAUUUUUGCGUGAUUUAAAUAACAAGCCAGAGGUCGUUAGCGCCGCGCAGCCCCUUAUCGCUGCUUAGGUUGAGAAUAGGAUAUUGUGGCUAAGGUUUAUUGUUUUUGAAAAUUUAUGUAUUCUUGGGUUUUUCUCCGGGCUCUCCGGUUUCCCUCUUGCACGAAAAACUAACCUUUCCACCAUUGCACGAAAUGCGAAUGGAUGCGAAAAAUGGCAAAAUGCGAAAAUUAACAAAUGAAUUAACACGUGCAGUAAAGAUCAGUUAGGCUUCGAACGAAACGAAUUUGCUUUGCCUCUCAUCAUUCAACUCUAAACCCUUUCAUAAAUUAAAUCAGUUUUAAUUAAUUACUUGUAAUGGCAUUGAUCAAUGAUAUAAUUUUAAGUUGUUAUAUUUAAGAUAUAUAACCUAAUUAUUGUGUAAUCACUGUAAACAUUUCGGGUAGUUCCUCGGGUAGAGGAGAAGUGAUCACGUGAUCGGCUAGUUGUGUUGUUUGUGGCGUCAGAUAUAACCAAAUCCCUAUCUCUAAGCCUAAUCCUUACCCUCACCCUAACCCUAACCCUUACCCUAACCUCAAAACUAAUCGCUAUAACUAACUGAUGACGUAGUCUGUGAUGCAAAUUCUUCUACCCGAGGAUGUAACCAACAUUUUCCCAAUGACAUCUAUACUUAUUUGUAUAUUUGUAAUUUUGAUGUAAUUUUAAUAAUUGGAAUUUGUAAAGCUAGUUUACACUAGAUAAAUUUGUUUAUGAUCACAGUAGCUUCACUGAACUUUGACUCCAAGACCCGUGUCUUGAAGAGCUUUACACUGUCAUAUACUUUGAUCAAAACAUACUUCAGUAUGUUAGCAUUCAGAAUUCAAAUACAUCUUAGGGGCGGACCCUUUGAAAAGUGAUGGAGGAGGGGAGCAAAAAAAUUUGCGCAAAGGAAACCGAAAGAAAAAAGGGGGAGAGCAAAGAAUAGUACAUUUAAAGUUCCGCCGCAAAAACGUACAGCGCAAGCAGACGGCCGAAAAAAAUUCGUGCACCCGCUGAAAAUACCCCCCCCCCCCCCCUCCUUUCAUCAGUUUUCAAAUGAUCGGCUCCGAAUGAGAAUUAAGUAUUAUAAUGAACAUUUAAUAUGUAUCAUAUGUGUAAUAAUGUAUCAAUUAUAUAAGUAGUCUAGAAACUUGCGUGUAUCUAUAAUUUAUUGGUUAUAUAAUCAUUCACAAUUAGCCCACUUUCUUACGCCGCCAUUUCGGGGGUACUUUUUUGCCAAUCCUGCGAGCGUAAGGCCACAUAAAAUAAAUUCCUAAAAAAUAAAAGAGACGGGAGGUUUAUAUUUUAUAUUUUACAUUUAUAUAAUUUAAUAUAUAUCAAUAAAUAAAAGUG
rnacentral:lncRNA from 1 species